rnacentral:rRNA from 1 species
UACGAAGGGGGCUAGCGUUGCUCGAAAUCACUGGGCGUAAAGCGCACGUAGGCGGCUUACUAAGUCAGGGGUGAAAGCCUGGAGCUCAACUCCAGAACUGCCUUUGAUACUGGUGAGCUUGAGUUCGGGAGAGGUGAGUGGAACUGCGAGUGUAGAGGUGAAAUUCGUAGAUAUUCGCAAGGACACCAGUGGCGAAGGCGGCUCACUGGCCCGAUACUGACGCUGAGGUGCGAAAGCGUGGGGAGCAAACAGG